rnacentral:rRNA from 1 species
GGACUUAAGCAUAUCAAUAAGCGGAGGAAAAGAAACCACCCGGGAUUGCCCCAGUAACGGCGAGUGAAGCGGCAUCAGCUCAGAUUUGAAAUCCGGCCCCGGCGGGGCCCGAGUUGUAAUCUGCAGAGGAGGCUUCGGGUGCGGCGCGGGUCCAAGUCCUUUGGAACGGGGCGUCGAGGAGGGUGAGAACCCCGUCCGCGGCCCGCGACCAACCCCCGGUGAAGCCCCUUCGACGAGUCGAGUUGUUUGGGAAUGCAGCUCAAAACGGGUGGUAAAUUCCAUCUAAAGCUAAAUACCGGCCGGAGACCGAUAGCGCACAAGUAGAGUGAUCGAAAGAUGAAAAGCACUUUGGAAAGAGAGUCAAACAGCACGUGAAAUUGUUGAAAGGGAAGCGCUUGCGACCAGACCUGCCCGCGGGCGAUCAGCCCCCGUUCGCGGGGGUGCACUCGCCCGCGACCAGGCCAGCAUCGGUCCGGGCGGCCGGAGAAAGGCCGGGGGAACGUACUCCCCUCCCGGGGGGAGCCUUACAGCCCCCGGCGCCACACGGCCAGCCCGGACCGAGGACCGCGCCCCGGCGAGGAUGCUGGCGUAAUGGUCGUCAGCGACCCGUCUUGAAACACGGACCAAGGAGUCUAACGUCCAUGCGAGUGUUUGGGCGUCAAACCCACGCGCGGAAUGAAAGUGAACGGAGGUGAGAACCCCCCCGGGGGGCGCAUCAUCGACCGAUCCAGAUGUCUUCGGAUGGAUUCGAGUACGAGCACGGACGUGGGGACCCGAAAGACUGGUGAACUAUACUUGAAUAGGGUGAAGCCAGAGGAAACUCUGGUGGAGGCUCGCAGCGGUUCUGACGUGCAAAUCGAUCGUCGAAUUUGGGUAUAGGGGCGAAAGACCAAUCGAACCGUCUAGUAGCUGGUUCCUGCCGAAGUU